AAUGAACGCUGGCGGCAGGCCUAACACAUGCAAGUCGAACGAGGUAGCAAUACCUAGUGGCGGACGGGUGAGUAACGCGUGGGAACGUGCCCCUUGGUACGGAAUAGCCCUGGGAAACUGGGAGUAAUACCGUAUGUGGUCGAGAGACGAAAGAUUUAUCGCCAAGGGAUCGGCCCGCGUUGGAUUAGGUAGUUGGUGGGGUAAUGGCAUACCAAGCCGACGAUCCAUAGCUGGUUUGAGAGGAUGAUCAGCCAAACUGGGACUGAGACACGGCCCAGACUCCUACGGGAGGCAGCAGUGGGGAAUCUUAGACAAUGGGGGAAACCCUGAUCUAGCCAUGCCGCGUGAUCGAUGAAGGCCUUAGGGUUGUAAAGAUCUUUCAGUGGGGAAGAUAAUGACGGUACCCACAGAAGAAGCCCCGGCUAACUCCGUGCCAGCAGCCGCCGUAA
rnacentral:rRNA from 1 species